CAAAAUUUUAAUUGCUGUUUGAGGAUUAAAAGUCCCCGUUUCGAUCUCGCUCACAGAAUCGCAGAGAAAAGUGCAAAUUUACCGUGACGUUUAUUGAUUCCACGCUAACAGUCGUUUCGAUGCCAAUGAAAGACAACCGACACCCGGACAGUUCGUUCCCGCAAUUAAUUCAAAACAGUCUUUUGAGCUGUCGCUAUUCCGAACGAGAAUUCCACAUCGUUAUUUCUCUGUUGAUUGAAGUCAUUUUCGAUACACCGAGCGUAUAAAAUAACAACGUCACUGGUUACUCUAUGUAUUGUACUUUUCACAUGUCUACAGGGGAUGUGAUGUUUUAUUCGAAAAUUUCAAAUGUAAAAUUUUAUCAAAAAUUUUGACAAAUAAAAUUGAAUUCUCUAUAUCAA